GUGGUGGCUCAGUGGUAGAGCGCUUGCCUAACCCAUGCAAGGCCCUCGGUUUGAUCCUCAGCACCACA
rnacentral:tRNA from 1 species